rnacentral:lncRNA from 1 species
GGGCUGCAGCUACCCAUACUUGGAGAGAGGAAGGGUUGUCAUGGUAACCUUCCUCAUUGGCCCCUUCACUUCUUCCGCCUCCUUCUUUUUAUCCCACCAUCCCCACCUCCCCACAUCUUCUAUUUCUCUUUCGCUCCACACAGGAAAACAAAACCGUAUUAGCCUCCCACACAAAGAGGCUGGACACCUCUGCAGAUGAACAUUGAAGUGAAGUGGACAUUGCUGGGACAGUGGCUGCAUUAUCAUUGACACUGCAACUCUGACAGCCAAGACAGCAAACCAACCCGUCAGCCAUGACAGCGGCCCCAUACCUUACCUCCAGCGACCCUCUGUCAGCUGCCAUGACUUCUAAUCGCGUCUUGACCCUGGUCAUGCCCGUGAUCCCGACCCCUUACCCCUGGAUGGAGGAGGAGCACAUCCAGGUACACACCAUCCUGAUUGUCAUCAUCUUCUGCGUGGUCUGCUUCCUGCUCCUGGUGGCCUUCUUCUACGCUUUCUGCAUCCGCUGCACACUGAAGCCGUCCCCCAAAGACUCCCGGCCUGCCCACAGCUGUAGUCUGGAGCGUGAGGAUGCCAGCUUCUGCCGCAGCUCCUCCGAUUGCCAGUCGGUUGGGAACGUGGUCUGAAUGGAGAAGAGUACAUGAGAGAACUAGAGAGGAAGGCUGAGAGGAGAGGAAGUCAAAGAGGAGAGGAAGUCUGAGAAGAGAGGAGGACUGAGAGGAGAGGAAGGCUGAGAGGAGAGGAAGGCUGAGAAGAGAGGAAGGCUGAGAGGAGAGGAAGUCUGAGAAGAGAGGAAGUCUGAGAGAGGAGAGGAAGGCUGAGAGGAGUUUGAUAGCUUCUAUAUUAAUACAUUUCUGAGAUUAUGCGACCCACCGUGCAACAGUGUUCAGGAAGUAGGAAUGAUCUGUUGGGGUGUGUCAAAUAGGAGCAGUAGAAUGUUACUCUACUGUGCAUAACAGGACUCCCUGACAUAAAUAAAUGAAUGGAUAUACCAUACAACUUUUAUUGCCAUUUUCUGUGAAUCUGUCUGUGAUGUGUUCUGUCUUCUAUAUGUCACUGUUUCAUGAAUAAUAUACUGUUCCUGUUUAUUGACUCGUCUGUUUUUCACACUGCUGUGUGUUAUGUGCAUUCCCAUUCCAUGCAUUAUGACACUUUGUCCACUAAAGCACUGUCGUGUCUUUGGCAUCAUUAAACUGAAGACAUAUUUAUCAAAUAA